UGUAAAAUGCGUUCUUAUUCAAGUUUUCAACUCAGUCAUUCGUUUAAGAUGCAAUCUUGUGUUAUAAGUAUUAGGCUAUCAUGAUUAUACAGUGAGCAAGCUAUAUAAAUAAGUAUUUAAUAUAAUAAGUGUAGAGCAACAACCGAGGGUGUAAGGUAAAGGCUGAAUAUUGUAGAUUUAUUACAAUAUGUUGCAUGUUUGAAUUAAAAUACCUGUGGAUAUGCAGGAGCACACACUCUACAAAGGCCUGACUGGAGAUUUGCCUGAUCUAUCCGUCCUUCAGAUGACAGCGGCUCGCUUCAAGAGCAGGUGAAGCAAGUUGGGACAAUGUUGAAGACAUUUGCUUGCACUGGGCAAUCGGUAGGUGCAGAUCAAACCCUAAUGCUGCGACGUCUUGGGAGUUUGGCGAUGUUGUGCGUAGCAUGGACGACAAAAUGCUAUGCUGCAACGUUUCAGUGCCAAUGUGUCUGUUGGAGAGUUAUCCCUGACAGGGGAUCUGUUACUCCCCCCUAGACACCCAGGAACAUUUGGCGUUGCUUGACAACAGUUUGAGGCAGGAUAAAGAGCUCCAGCAA